rnacentral:rRNA from 1 species
UACGUAGGUCCCGAGCGUUGUCCGGAUUUACUGGGUGUAAAGGGCGUGCAGCCGGGCUGACAAGUCAGAUGUGAAAUCCCGCGGCUCAACCGCGGAACUGCAUUUGAAACUGUCAGUCUUGAGUACCGGAGAGGUCAUCGGAAUUCCUCGUGUAGCGGUGAAAUGCGUAGAUAUAAGGAAGAACACCAGUGGCGAAGGCGGAUGACUGGACGGCAACUGACGGUGAGGCGCGAAAGCGUGGGGAGCAAACAGG